CUUUAACCCACUGUGCAGGCUGGUGAUCAAACCUGUGUCCUGGAGCUGCAUAGAUCCCACAGAUCCCAUUGCACCACAGUGAGAACUCCUUCUUCUUCCUUAAAUUACUCUUUCUUUCCUAAGAGUUUUAUUGUCCCUCGGAGAAGAGAAAACUGCACGGCCGUGCCCUUUGAGACUGCUUUGAGACCUUGCUCUCAACAAAGAGUAAAGUAUUUAGAGCUUCUAAUUCCACUUUUCCUUAAGGGAGGAUGAACUCUGUAGCAAUUACCUUGUGACUUCUGAGGAUCACCUUUGGAAGGCUUGGUGUUACGAACAUUGGGAUAAGAAUUUUACAAAACAUCAAAAAGGUAUUGAAUUGAUAAGUAAAAGAACUGCCUUUUGAGCGUUGCAUGAGAGGAAAAUGUACAAUUUCAGNCUUGCUGUACAGUGGGAAAAUAAUAAAAAAAAAAAAUAAGUAAAAGAACUGCCUUUU
rnacentral:lncRNA from 1 species